CGCAGCCGCGGUAAUUCCAGCUCCAAUAGCGUAUAUUAAAGUUGCUGCAGUUAAAAAGCUCGUAGUUGAAUUUCGGGACCAAUAUGCCGGUCGUGCCUCGGUACGUACUGGCAUCGUUGGUUUCUCCCUUCUGACGAACCAUGAUGUCAUUUAUUUGGUGUCGUGGGGAAUCGGGACUGUUACUUUGAAAAAUUAGAGUGUUUAAAGCAGGCUCACGCUUGAAUACAUUAGCAUGGAAUAAUGAAAUAGGACGUUUGAUUCUAUUUUGUUGGUUUCUAGGAUCGACGUAAUGAUUAAUAGGGAUAGUUGGGGGCAUUAGUAUUCAAUUGUCAGAGGUGAAAUUCUUGGAUUUAUUGAAGACUAACUACUGCGAAAGCAUUUGCCAAGGAUGUUUUCAUUAAUCAAGAACGAAAGUUAGGGGAUCGAAGACGAUCAGAUACCGUCGUAGUCUUAACCAUAAACUAUGCCGACUAGGGAUCGGAUGAUGUUAAUUUUUAAUGACUCA
rnacentral:rRNA from 1 species